GAUGAACGCUGGCGGCGUGCCUAAUACAUGCAAGUCGAGCGAACAGACGAGGAGCUUGCUCCUCUGACGUUAGCGGCGGACGGGUGAGUAACACGUGGAUAACCUACCUAUAAGACUGGGAUAACUUCGGGAAACCGGAGCUAAUACCGGAUAAUAUAUUGAACCGCAUGGUUCAAUAGUGAAAGACGGUUUUGCUGUCACUUAUAGAUGGAUCCGCGCCGCAUUAGCUAGUUGGUAAGGUAACGGCUUACCAAGGCAACGAUGCGUAGCCGACCUGAGAGGGUGAUCGGCCACACUGGAACUGAGACACGGUCCAGACUCCUACGGGAGGCAGCAGUAGGGAAUCUUCCGCAAUGGGCGAAAGCCUGACAGAGCAACGCCGCGUGAGUGAUGAAGGUCUUCGGAUCGUAAAACUCUGUUAUUAGGGAAGAACAAAUGUGUAAGUAACUAUGCACGUCUUGACGGUACCUAAGCAGAAAGCCACGGCUAACUACGU
rnacentral:rRNA from 1 species